UACGAAGGGGGCUAGCGUUGCUCGGAAUCACUGGGCGUAAAGCGCACGUAGGCGGAUUGCUAAGUCAGGGGUGAAAUCCUGGAGCUCAACUCCAGAACUGCCUUUGAUACUGGCGAUCUUGAGUCCGGGAGAGGUGAGUGGAACUGCGAGUGUAGAGGUGAAAUUCGUAGAUAUUCGCAAGAACACCAGUGGCGAAGGCGGCUCACUGGCCCGGUACUGACGCUGAGGUGCGAAAGCUAGGGGAGCGAACGGG
rnacentral:rRNA from 1 species